ensembl:misc_RNA Metazoa_SRP Metazoan signal recognition particle RNA
GCUUGUUGAAUUAUUGUAGAAAUUAUUAGCUGAUUCAUCACUAUGAAAAUUCAGGAAUGCCAGCUAUAAUGUACUAUGCUGAUCAGGUGUCUGCUCUGAUUUUGGCAUCAAUGUGGUGACCUCCCAGGAGCAGGGGACCACCGGGUUGCCUAAGGAGGGGUGAACCAGCCCAGGUCAGAAAUGGAGCAGGUCAAAACUCCCGUGCUGAUCAGUAGUAGUAUCGCACUUGUGAACAGUCACUGCCCUCCAGUGUGGGCAACAUAGUAAGAUCCU